CAAUAGCAUAUAUUAACGUUGUUGCAGUUGAAAAGCUCGUAGUUGAACUUUUGGUAGGAGCGACCUGGUCUUGGGCCGAAUGGUCCUUGUUUUUACCGUGUGUCGUAUCUGGCCAUCCUUCUUUGUUCGUUUUAAGGGCAAGGAUCAUUUACUGUGAGUAAACUGGAGUGCUCAAAACAAGACGUAUUGUUUAGUACAUUUUAGCAUGGAAUAAUAAGAUAGGACCUAGUUACUAUUUUGUUGGUUUGCAUAGCUGGGUAAUGAUGAAUAGGAACAGUCGGAGGUAUUCGUAUUUAAUUGUCAGAGGUGAAAUUCUUGGAUUUCUGAAAGACGAACCACUGCGAAAGCAUUUACCAAGGAUGUUUUCAUUAA
rnacentral:rRNA from 1 species